UCGACGAGGAGGUUUGGCACCUCGAUGUCGGCUCAUCGCAUCCUGGGGCUGAAGAAGGUCCCAAGGGUCCGGCUGUUCGCCGGUUAAAGCGGUACGUGAGCUGGGUUCAAAACGUCGUAAGACAGUUUGGUCUCCUAUCUACCAUGGGCGUUGAAUGUUGCGGGAGCCUCCCUCUAGUACGAGAGGACCGAGGGGGACGCACCUCCCGUAUACCGGCUGUGUCACCAGAUGCAGUGCCGGGUAGCGGCGUGCGGCAGUGAUAAGCGCUGAAAGCAUAUAAGCGCGAAGCACUUCCCAAGAUUAACAUUCGUUAUUUAGGGCGGUCGAAGAUGACGACCUUGAUAGGCUUUAGGUGUAAGCGUGGCAACACGUUCAGCCGAGAAGUACUAAUAGCCCGAGUGCGCAACCAC
rfam:Bacterium CG10_46_32 isolate CG10_46_32 CG10_big_fil_rev_8_21_14_0.10_scaffold_442, whole genome shotgun sequence.